rnacentral:lncRNA from 1 species
UGGGGCAGAGAGUUCUCUUGCAAGACACUGAUAGUUCACUCUAAGUGAGUGUGUAAUCCAAUUUGAUUUGAAGUCUUUCAGACACUCACAGUUUUAAAAGAAUGAAAGGGUUAAGUCUCAUUUGUAAGAAAUCACUAUAAAAUAUUUACAAUUGCAAAAUGUUUCUUUCAUCAACCACUUUCAUUUCACUUGCCUUUACCUCUCUCAUUCCAGAAAUUGCUCUUUGAAAUAAAUGAUAUAUUGUAUCUUCCCCACCACCACCCAGAAUUCACAAAAUCAAACAAGGAGGGCCUUCUGAAUACAUGUUUGGAGGCACAUGGGUGGCCAGUUGGUCAAGCAUCUAACUCUUGAUUUCUGCUCAGAUCAUGAUCUCAGGGUUGUGAGAUCAAGCCCUCUGUAGGGCUCCACAUUUAGCGGAGUCUGCUUGAGCUUCUCUUUCUCACUCUGCUUUUGCCCCUCUCCCUACUUGCACUCCCUUGAGCUCUCUCUCUCUCAAAAUAAAUAAAUAAAAUAUGAUAUACUUGCUUGGAGGAGGUCCAGAAAUACUAGUUAGGGACCUUAAUUCAAGGAUUCAGGUUAAAUAAAUUGUCAUACAGCCACACAAUUAGAUGCUUUGUAGCCAUUUAAAGUGAGAAUAUAGGUCAAUGUUAAUACCAUGGAAACACAUUCAUGAUAUAUAAAGUGGAAAAAAACAAGUUAUAAAACAGUUUUUAUACAUAAGUUCUGUUUAAAAAGAAAAAGAAGGCUGGAGAGAAGUGCAGAGAAAGCCUCUCGGUCGUCUCCGCUCUGGGAGCAGCUCUCCAGCUACAGCCCUUCAUCCCCUGAAAAUGUACGCCUGUGCAAAGUUCGUCUCCACCCCCUUCUUGGUCCGGAGCACCUCUCAGCUGUUGAGCCGAUCACUCUGUCUGCAGUGGUGCUAAAACCACCAGAGACACUGCCAGAUAAGGAAUCCCUCUCUGAAGCAACAGCUCUUCUCCUACGCCAUUCUGGGCUUUGCCCUCUCGGAGGCCCUGGGGCUCUUUGCCUGAUGGUGGCUUUUCUCAUCCUCUUUGCCAUGUGAAGGAGUCGUCUCCACCUCCCAUAGGUCUUUCUCCCAUGUCUUGUCUGCCCUGUAUCCCUGUAUGUUCCUUUUCCUAUACCUCCCCAGGCAGCCUGGGGAAAGUGGUUGGCUCAGGGUUUGACAGAGGAAAGACAAAUAAAUACUGUAUUAAUAAGAAAAAAAAAAAAAGAAGUGCAGAGAAAAAAGAUAUAGAUGGCUAGAGACCAAAGCACAAGCAAACUUUGUCCUGGAUAAUAGGAUUAAAAAUUAUUACUAUUUUCUUUUAUAUCUUCAUCUGUGUUUUCUUAAUUGUUUUUCAAUGAGCAUGUAUUAUCUUUACUAUCCAAAAAAAAAAAAACAACCUAUUUUUUAAAGUGUUCCUUAUAAUAGUACUUCACAACUUCAUAGGCAGAUAUGAUCUUGGGGAGGAUUCUAACAGCUGGCCCUGAGGAGAGCCAGAAAUUGAAAUGGGAAGUUAAAAGAAUACCAAAGACAAAUUUCUGAAUUAUAUUUCAAUUAGGUGAAUACAUUUCAGAGAUUUAUUUAUAUUUCUGCCUUCUCUAAGAGACUGUUUUUGGGUGGGUCAAGUACAAUGUCUCAUUCAUUUGUCUAACUCAGAAUAUGGCAUUAAUGCCUGACACACAAUGGGUGCUUAAUAUAGACUCA